UGACCCCUGCUGUGUUCGUGAUGCAAUCUAAAGUUUUGAGCCAACACCUAAAAAGCGGGGACCGUACUCUCGUAGAGGGGAUGCAAUAGCCUGCGGGCCUGCAGAACUGAAAGGGCGGACCCCACCUGCGAAUGCAGGUUCAAAACACGAGAGCACACGGCACAGCGGGGACUGA
rnacentral:other from 1 species